rnacentral:rRNA from 1 species
UACGGAGGGUGCAAGCGUUAUCCGGAUUCACUGGGUUUAAAGGGAGCGUAGGUGGGUUGGUAAGUCAGUGGUGAAAUCCCCGAGCUUAACUUGGGAACUGCCAUUGAUACUAUCAGUCUUGAAUACUGUGGAGGUUAGCGGAAUAUGUCAUGUAGCGGUGAAAUGCUUAGAUAUGACAUAGAACACCAAUUGCGAAGGCAGCUCACUACGCGAAUAUUGACACUGAGGCACGAAAGCGUGGGGAUCAAACAGG